GCUGUCAGCGCCCCACGUGCCGCCCGGCCCCACGGCCACGCGUCCCCGGCCCGGCGCGCCCUCGACCCCAUCCCGGGCCCAUCCCAGGAGACCUGCCUUGCUAUUGACUCAGUCACAAGAAGAAGAAAACACAAUGUGUCCGAAAUAAAGUGCCUAAAGUGACUUCUGACUCAAGAUUUGCUCUCCCCAACCUACUCCUAAGAAAGUGUCAACACAAGCAGCUGACUCAAAUGGUGGACCACACUGUCCUUCUUCAACCCUUGUCAUCAGAUACCAUACUUCAAGAGGAAUCACCCGGAGGGCACUGGGUGAUCACUCUGAUAGGCUGGUCCCAAGAUGGCUGUAGGACUCCAGAUGAGAGUUCCAGAUGCCACGUCCAGAGAAGCAAGAGAGAGCAUCUCAUCCUGCAGCCCUCUUCUAGAAAUGAGGAAACUUUUCCCAGAAGCCCUCUAUGAGUGUCCCCGCACGUUUCUACAGACCCCUUGCUGAGAAAGGUCUGGUACAGGCUACUCUCUACACUUCAGCUGCUCCUUUCUGAUUCCCGACUCGCCAAGCUUGUUUCUUUCUCCCGUCCUGUACUCUUGCUGCUCCUUCUCCCUGGCACACUGUGUCCCCUGAACCUCACAUGACUGGCUUCAUCUCAUCAUUCAAGUUUCAGCUGAGAUGUUACCUCUUCCUCAGAGAGAUUCCCCAUUGAAAAUUGAACCCCCCUCCUCCUCACUCUCUAUCACA